CUCCUACGGGAGGCAGCAGUCGAGAAUCUUCGGCAAUGGGCGCAAGCCUGACCGAGCGACGCCSCGUGGAGGACGAAGGCCUUCGGGUUGUAAACUCCUGUCGAGGGGGAAGAAGGCCCCGCGAGGGGCUUGACUGAUCCCUGGAGGAAGCACGGGCUAAGUUCGUGCCAGCAGCCSCGGUAAGACGAACCGUGCGAACGUUAUUCGGAAUCMCUGGGCUUAAAGCGCGUGUAGGCGGGACGGCMCGUCUGUCGCUGAAAUCCCCCGGCUUAACCGGGGAACUGGCGUAGAUACGACCGUCCUGGAGGGGCGUAGGGGGACCUGGAACUUCCGGUGGAGCGGUGAAAUGCGUUGAGAUCGGAAGGAACGCCCGUGGCGAAAGCGAGGUCCUGGACGCCUACUGACGCUGAGACGCGAAAGCCAGGGGAGCGAACGGGAUUAGAUACCCCGGUAGUCCUGGCCGUAAACGAUGGGCACUGGGUAGGGGGCUCGCCGAUGGGCUCCCUGCCGAAGGGAAACCGUGAAGUGCCCCGCCUGGGGAGUAUGGUCGCAAGGCUGAAACUCAMAUGAAUUGACGGA
rnacentral:rRNA from 1 species